GCUACUGGGGAGCUGAGGCAGGAAGAUCACUUGAGCCUGGGAGAUUGAGGCUGCAGUGAGCUGAGAUCCUGCCACUGCACUCCAGCCUGGGGUGACAGGGCAAGACCCUGUCUAAACAAUAAAUAGAAUAACAUAAAAAAUAAAUGAAAAAAAUUUAAACUUAGUUUGGCAUAGUGGUGCAUACCUGUGGUCUUAUAUACUUGGCAGGCUGAGGAAGGAAGAUCUCUUGAGCCCAGAAAUUCAAGGCUGCAGUGAGUUUGAUUGAGCCACUGCACUCCAGCCUGAGCGACAGAAUGAAAAUCUGUGGGAAAAAAAAAGCAAUGAGAUACUCCACACCAAUAGAGGCCAAAGAAGGAACUUGGAAGAAAUGACAACAAACAUAAACUCCUCCCAGUUCCAGAAGCCAAUGAAGCAAGGUUCGUGCAAGGAGUGAGUCCCAUUUGCAGCCUCAGAUGAGCCAGUGAGGCAGAAAAUGUAGAUAAUAAAGAGAGUUAAUGACAGGC
rnacentral:lncRNA from 1 species